rfam:Schistosoma haematobium scaffold1957_4, whole genome shotgun sequence.
AUCCAGCUGACGAAUCGCAGAUAGGACGAAACGCGCGUCCUGGAU